rnacentral:rRNA from 1 species
AGUGAACGCUGGCGGCAGGCCUAAUACAUGCCAGUCGAACGGCAGCACAGUGGCGCUUGCUCCAUGGGUGGCGAGUGGCGGACGGGUGAGGAAUACAUGGGAAUCUGCCCAGUCGUGGGGGAUAACGUAGGGAAACUUACGCUAAUACCGCAUGCGCCCUUCGGGGGAAAGCCGGGGACCUUCGGGCCUGGCGCGAUUGGAUGAGCCCAUGUUCGAUUAGCUAGUUGGCGGGGUAAAGGCCCACCAAGGCGACGAUCGAUAGCUGGUCUGAGAGGAUGAUCAGCCACACUGGGAGUGAGACACGGCCCAGACUCCUACGGGAGGCAGCAGUAGGGAAUAUUGGACAAUGGGCGCAAGCCUGAUCCAGCCAUGCCGCGUGAGUGAAGAAGGACCUCGGGUUGUAAAGCUCUUUUGUCCGGGAAGAAAAGCAUCGGGCUAAUACCUCGGUGUUCUGACGGUACCGGAAGAAUAAGCACCGGCUAACUUCGUG